rnacentral:rRNA from 1 species
UACGUAGGUGGCAAGCGUUGUCCGGAUUUAUUGGGUUUAAAGGGUGCGUAGGCGGCCCUGUAAGUCAGUGCUGAAAUAUCCCGGCUUAACCGGGAGGGUGGCAUUGAUACUGCAGGGCUUGAGUACAGAUGAAGUAGGCGGAAUUGACGGUGUAGCGGUGAAAUGCAUAGAUAUCGUCAAGAACACCGAUAGCGAAGGCAGCUUACUAAGCUGUAACUGACGCUGAGGCACGAAAGUGUGGGGAGCAAACAGG